rnacentral:tRNA from 1 species
GCGGGAAUAGUUCAGUGGUAGAGCGCAACCUUGCCAAGGUUAGCUGUGAGGGUUCGAUCCCCUUCACCCGCUCCA